rnacentral:rRNA from 1 species
CCUUGUACACACCGCCCGUCACAUCACGAAAGUGGUUUGUACUAGAAGUCGCCAUCCCAACCGCAAGGAGGGUAACGCCCAAGGUAUGAACCAUGAUUGGGGUG